ACACUCCUGCGGGAGGCAGCAGUGGGGAAUUUUGGACAAUGGGCGAAAGCCUGAUCCAGCCAUGCCGCGUGCAGGAUGAAGGCCUUCGGGUUGUAAACUGCUUUUGUACGGAACGAAACGGCCUUUUCUAAUAAAGAGGGCUAAUGACGGUACCGUAAGAAUAAGCACCGGCUAACUACGUGCCAGCAGCCGCGGUAAUACGUAGGGUGCAAGCGUUAAUCGGAAUUACUGGGCGGAAAGCGUGCGCAGGCGGUUAUGUAAGACAGUUGUGAAAUCCCCGGGCUCAACCUGGGAACUGCAUCUGUGACUGCAUAGCUAGAGUACGGUAGAGGGGGAUGGAAUUCCGCGUGUAGCAGUGAAAUGCGUAGAUAUGCGGAGGAACACCGAUGGCGAAGGCAAUCCCCUGGACCUGUACUGACGCUCAUGCACGAAAGCGUGGGGAGCAAACAGGAUUAGAAACCCCAGUAGUCCCAUGAU
rnacentral:rRNA from 1 species